GACGAACGCUGGCGGCGUGCCUAAUACAUGCAAGUCGAGCGAAGUUUUUCUGGUGCUUGCACUAGAAAAACUUAGCGGCGAACGGGUGAGUAACACGUAAAGAACCUGCCUCAUAGACUGGGACAACUAUUGGAAACGAUAGCUAAUACCGGAUAACAGUAUUUCUCGCAUGAGAGAUAUUUAAAAGUUGGUUAUGCUAACACUAUGAGAUGGCUUUGCGGUGCAUUAGCUAGUUGGUGGGGUAAAGGCCUACCAAGGCGACGAUGCAUAGCCGACCUGAGAGGGUGAUCGGCCACACUGGGACUGAGACACGGCCCAGACUCCUACGGGAGGCAGCAGUAGGGAAUCUUCCGCAAUGGGCGAAAGCCUGACGGAGCAACGCCGCGUGAGUGAAGAAGGAUUUCGGUUCGUAAAGCUCUGUUGUUAGGGAAGAAUGGAUAUGUAGUAACUAUACAUAUAAGAGACGGUACCUAACCAG
rnacentral:rRNA from 1 species